rnacentral:rRNA from 1 species
GUGGACGCCAGUCUGCGUGGAGCCGACCUUGAAAUACCACCCUUUAAUGUUUGAUGUUCUAACGUGGACCCGUAAUCCGGGUUGCGGACAGUGUCUGGUGGGUAGUUUGACUGGGGCGGUCUCCUCCUAAAGAGUAACGGAGGAGCACGAAGGUUGGCUAAUCCUGGUCGGACAUCAGGAGGUUAGUGCAAUGGCAUAAGCCAGCUUGACUGCGAGCGUGACGGCGCGAGCAGGUGCGAAAGCAGGUCAUAGUGAUCCGGUGGUUCUGAAUGGAAGGGCCAUCGCUCAACGGAUAAAAGGUACUCCGGGGAUAACAGGCUGAUACCGCCCAAGAGUUCAUAUCGACGGCGGUGUUUGGCACCUCGAUGUCGGCUCAUCACAUCCUGGGGCUGAAGUAGGUCCCAAGGGUAUGGCUGUUCGCCAUUUAAAGUGGUACGCGAGCUGGGUUUAGAACGUCGUGAGACAGUUCGGUCCCUAUCUGCCGUGGGCGCUGGAGAACUGAGGGGGGCUGCUCCUAGUACGAGAGGACCGGAGUGGACGCAUCACUGGUGUUCGGGUUGUCAUGCCAAUGGCACUGCCCGGUAGCUAAAUGCGGAAGAGAUAAGUGCUGAAAGCAUCUAAGCACGAAACUUGCCCCGAGAUGAGUUCUCCCUGAGACUUUAGGUCUCCUGAAGGAACGUUGAAGACGACGACGUUGAUAGGCCGGGUGUGUAAGCGCAGCGAUGCGUUGAGCUAACCGGUACUAAUGAACCGUGAGGCUUAACCUU